rnacentral:tRNA from 1 species
UCUAAAAUGGCAGAUUAGUGCGAUGAAUUUAAGCUUCAUAUAUAAAGAAUAUUCUUUUUUUAGAA